GCUGGGCAUGGUAGCGUGUGCCUGUAGUCCCAGCUACUCGGGAGGCUGAGGCAGGAGAAUUGCUUGAACUCAGGAGGUAGAGGUUGCAGUGAGGCGAGAUUGUGACACUAUACUCCAGCCUGGGCGACAAGAGCAAGACUCCAUCCAAAAAAAAAAAAAUUAUAUCUCAGGUAACACGAACAGAUUCGCUCUGUCAACAGGUGCCAGGCUGGAGUGCAGUGGUGCGAUCUCAGCUCACUGCAACCUCUGCCUCCCAGGUUCAAGCAAUUCUCCUGCCUCAG
rnacentral:sRNA from 1 species